GUAACAUUUAGGCUCCAAAGGGGUAAGUGUUAGCCUGCCUAAUUUUUCUCCCCCUCCCCCCUGUUUACCAAACAAGGUGUGAAGGAAGUUAAAAGUUCACAACUUCAUGAAUUUUUCAGUUCCUUCACCCCUCUGCCAAUGAUAAUGCUUUGGAUUGUAGAUCAUUGUGAGUAACAAACUGUAGUAGAAAACCAUGCAAAACAUGUUCAUACCAUCACAUAACUAAUUUGUAGCAAGUGAAUCUUAGCUUUCGUCUGUCAAGCAGAAAUUAAAUGGACUAAGCCAAUAAAAUGAAAAUAAAGCAUUAAAUAUUUAGGAUAAUUA
rnacentral:misc_RNA from 1 species